GUCGAGCGGUAGCACAGAGAGCUUGCUCUCGGGUGACGAGCGGCGGACGGGUGAGUAAUGUCUGGGAAACUGCCUGAUGGAGGGGGAUAACUACUGGAAACGGUAGCUAAUACCGCAUAAUGUCGCAAGACCAAAGUGGGGGACCUUCGGGCCUCAUGCCAUCAGAUGUGCCCAGAUGGGAUUAGCUAGUAGGUGGGGUAACGGCUCACCUAGGCGACGAUCCCUAGCUGGUCUGAGAGGAUGACCAGCCACACUGGAACUGAGACACGGUCCAGACUCCUACGGGAGGCAGCAGUGGGGAAUAUUGCACAAUGGGCGCAAGCCUGAUGCAGCCAUGCCGCGUGUGUGAAGAAGGCCUUCGGGUUGUAAAGCACUUUCAGCGGGGAGGAAGGCGUUAAGGUUAAUAACCUUGGCGAUUGACGUUACCCGCAGAAGAAGCACCGGCUAACUCCGUGCCAGCAGCCGCGGUAAUACGGAGGGUGCAAGCGUUAAUCGGAAUUACUGGGCGUAAAGCGCACGCAGGCGGUCUGUCAAGUCGGAUGUGAAAUCCCCGGGCUCAACCUGGGAACUGCAUUCGAAACUGGCAGGCUAGAGUCUUGUAGAGGGGGGUAGAAUUCCAGGUGUAGCGGUGAAAUGCGUAGAGAUCUGGAGGAAUACCGGUGGCGAAGGCGGCCCCCUGGACAAAGACUGACGCUCAGGUGCGAAAGCGUGGGGAGCAAACAGGAUUAGAUACCCUGGUAGUCCACGCCGUAAACGAUGUCGAUUUGGAGGUUGUGCCCUUGAGGCGUGGCUUCCGGAGCUAACGCGUUAAAUCGACCGCCUGGGGAGUACGGCCGCAAGGUUAAAACUCAAAUGAAUUGACGGGGGCCCGCACAAGCGGUGGAGCAUGUGGUUUAAUUCGAUGCAACGCGAAGAACCUUACCUGGUCUUGACAUCCACAGAACUUUCCAGAGAUGGAUUGGUGCCUUCGGGAACUGUGAGACAGGUGCUGCAUGGCUGUCGUCAGCUCGUGUUGUGAAAUGUUGGGUUAAGUCCCGCAACGAGCGCAACCCUUAUCCUUUGUUGCCAGCGGUUCGGCCGGGAACUCAAAGGAGACUGCCAGUGAUAAACUGGAGGAAGGUGGGGAUGACGUCAAGUCAUCAUGGCCCUUACGACCAGGGCUACACACGUGCUACAAUGGCAUAUACAAAGAGAAGCGACCUCGCGAGAGCAAGCGGACCUCAUAAAGUAUGUCGUAGUCCGGAUUGGAGUCUGCAACUCGACUCCAUGAAGUCGGAAUCGCUAGUAAUCGUAGAUCAGAAUGCUACGGUGAAUACGUUCCCGGGCCUUGUACACACCGCCCGUCACACCAUGGGAGUGGGUUGCAAAAGAAGUAGGUAGCUUAACCUUCGGGAGGGCGC
rnacentral:rRNA from 1 species